rnacentral:lncRNA from 10 species
CCGCGAGCUGGACGCUCCGCAGCCCGCCCGCCAGCCGGCCCGCCGGCCGCCGCAGGAAUCCCUGGAUAAAGACCAGCUCAACCAUCGCUGAGAAAACAGACCUAGGCUUCCCAGGGCGGUUAACCCGCCGGCCUCUGGGCAGAGACUAAAAGACAAAACAAAAUAAAACAACAACAAAAAACUCCCAGUGUGUUUCCUACUCUUCUUUGUCUUGGAGGAAAGCAAAGGGAGAGAAAUGGACUUCACCAGUGGUCUUUGGCUUCAUCAAUUCACAGGAAAUGGCAUCAAGAUGGUUCAACUAAGACAUGAUCACUAAAAACAUUAUAAUAAUACCUUUUUGAAAAACUCAGUUUCUCCUGUUUACUAAAUAUUUAUUUCAUCAACAUGGGCUGCGUUCCACUGUGUCAGGAUUCUGCAUGUGGGUGGAGCACUGUUCCAGCCUGAGAAGAUGGUUCUGAGGCCACUUAGCAAGACAUUUUCCAGCAUGAGCAGGUUUCUCUGUGGAAAUAGUGACACCUGUUCUGGUGUGUUGUCUUUCCUCAGGGAACUUAAGGGGUACAAAGCUCCUGAAAAUGUUCUUUAUGCUGGUUGAAGCUCUUAUGUCGCUGUACUGAUUCCCUACGAUGCAGAUUUGAAUCACAGAGUAAUUAAAAUAUGGAUCAAAUAAGGCUGGGGCUCACCAAGGCUGAAAGCUGUAGCCAUUCAAGGCAUCAUUUCUGUCAUGAAAAUAUAGGACCUUUUCAAAACAUGCCUUCAGGAAGGUGUUCUCUUUUCAAACAAAAGUCUAAUGACUGCAUAACUCUUCUUGACCACAUCUUACACUUUCUCUAGACUUGCUUAUUUACAGCUACUGGAACAAAAAGAUGAAAUGAAUAAAGCACACUGAUUGUCCUAAGAGUCUUCUGUGACUAAAAGCACAUGAGCUUCUCCCCAGGCUGAGCUUUGACCCUCCCAAGCAUUUCCCCAAAGGCCAUGACACUGCAUCAGAUUGCUCCUGGACACUUUCCUCAGAGUUUUCAACAAAUAUAAACUGAGGAGUGGAGCACAGCACCAGAUUUGCUAAUCAAGAGGCAAUGGUCCCAGUCCAAAUGGGUGCUGUGUGUGAAUACAGAGCCCAGGAGAAGGGAAGGAGGUCUGUGAACAUCAGGAAUUGCAAAAUCUUGCUGAACCAAUAGACCAACAGCCAUUAACAUUUGUCAAUGCAAAGAUCCUAAAAUAUACAAGUGUGGAGUUGUCCUGCCCUAAGAGCUGAAGCUGUGACAAUCACGCUGCCAUGAAAAAAACGCUUUCGUAUAUUUUUCCUGCUGGGUGGUCAGAAGGAAAGGCCGUGAAGCUAAAGGUCUCCCACUGAGACGCUGUUCUGCAAGGAGCCGACCUCACGUGCCGCCGCCGCCAGAGAAGAGAGCACCUGUUCAUCUCGGCUCACUGUGAGGCUGAGCUCAGCGCUGGCAGGCGAGGGGCCGCAAGCAUCCCCCACAGCCACCGAGAGGGCAUCCCUGCAGGGAAAUCAUAUCCGACAUGCCUGUGCCCACAGCAGACUUAAGACUGCCUCUAAAAUGUCCAUGAAGCCAUUGUCCAGUAGAGCUGUUAGUUUUAACACCAGUGAGUAUUACCUUUGGUUAAAAGGAUGCAUGUGUAUAGGUGUAUGUGUGUGCGUGUGUGUUUGUGUUUUUGGACUUGUGUGGAGAAUGAAGAAAGGGUUCCAUUUAGGCAUUUGCAAAUAUUCGAUGGCAUCAUGAAAAGACAAAAAAAUCCUAUAAAAUAUAUCAUAUUUUGCUAUGAUUUUGUGUGUACAUGUAAUAAAAUUAUUAAGUAUAAAUUGUUCUGUAUUUCUUUGCAAGCAUAAAUUCUAAAAUUUUGUAUUUAGUACAGAAUAAUUCGUAUCACAUAAUAAGGGAAAAAUACAUUUUUUUUUCCUGAUUAAGUGCUUAGACUAAAUGUAUCUGGUUUUUUGGGGAACUGAGGCCAAGAUGGAAAUUGUAGUCUGCCUGGGUGAACGUAAUUCCUUUCUCUAAUUCUUG